rnacentral:tRNA from 2 species
GUCUUCGUAGCUCAGCUGGUAGAGCAAAUGACUCUUAAUCAUUGGGUCCGGGGUUCGAGUCCCCGCGAGGACA